rnacentral:tRNA from 1 species
UCCCUGGUGGCUCAGAUGGUAAAGAAUCUGCCUGCAAUGCAAGAGACCCGGGUUCAAUCCCUGGGUAGGGAA